GCUCAGGAUGAACGCUGGCGGCGUGCCUAAUACAUGCAAGUCGAACGAGUUCUGAUUAUUGAAAGGUGCUUGCAUCUUGAUUUAAUUUUGAACGAGUGGCGGACGGGUGAGUAACACGUGGGUAACCUGCCCUUAAGUGGGGGAUAACAUUUGGAAACAGAUGCUAAUACCGCAUAAAUCCAAGAACCGCAUGGUUCUUGGCUGAAAGAUGGCGUAAGCUAUCGCUUUUGGAUGGACCCGCGGCGUAUUAGCUAGUUGGUGAGGUAACGGCUCACCAAGGCAAUGAUACGUAGCCGAACUGAGAGGUUGAUCGGCCACAUUGGGACUGAGACACGGCCCAAACUCCUACGGGAGGCAGCAGUAGGGAAUCUUCCACAAUGGACGCAAGUCUGAUGGAGCAACGCCGCGUGAGUGAAGAAGGCUUUCGGGUCGUAAAACUCUGUUGUUGGAGAAGAAUGGUCGGCAGAGUAACUGUUGUCGGCGUGACGGUAUCCAACCAGAAAGCCACGGCUAAC
rnacentral:rRNA from 2 species